UACGUAGGGCGCAAGCGUUGUCCGGAAUUAUUGGGCGUAAAGAGCUCGUAGGCGGUCUGUUGCGUCCGCUGUGAAAACUCGGGGCUUAACCCCGAGCCUGCAGUGGAUACGGGCAGACUAGAGGUAGGUAGGGGAGAAUGGAAUUCCCGGUGUAGCGGUGAAAUGCGCAGAUAUCGGGAGGAACACCGGUGGCGAAGGCGGUUCUCUGGGCCUUACCUGACGCUCAGGUGCGAAAGCUAGGGGAGCGAACAGG
rnacentral:rRNA from 1 species